CCUACGGGGGGCAGCAGUAGGGAAUCUUCGGCAAUGGACGGAAGUCUGACCGAGCAACGCCGCGUGAGUGAAGAAGGUUUUCGGAUCGUAAAGCUCUGUUGUAAGAGAAGAACGAGUGUGAGAGUGGAAAGUUCACACUGUGACGGUAUCUUACCAGAAAGGGACGGCUAACUACGUGCCAGCAGCCGCGGUAAUACGUAGGUCCCGAGCGUUGUCCGGAUUUAUUGGGCGUAAAGCGAGCGCAGGCGGUUAGAUAAGUCUGAAGUUAAAGGCUGUGGCUUAACCAUAGUACGCUUUGGAAACUGUUUAACUUGAGUGCAAGAGGGGAGAGUGGAAUUCCAUGUGUAGCGGUGAAAUGCGUAGAUAUAUGGAGGAACACCGGUGGCGAAAGCGGCUCUCUGGCUUGUAACUGACGCUGAGGCUCGAAAGCGUGGGUAGCAAACAGGAUUAGAUACCCGGGUAGUC
rnacentral:rRNA from 1 species